rnacentral:rRNA from 1 species
GUAAGCGUUGAUCCAGAGAUUUCCGAAUGGGGGAACCCACUAUCUUUAGUCGGAUAGUAUCCUUACGUGAAUACAUAGCGUGAGGAAGGCAGACCCAGGGAACUGAAACAUCUAAGUACCUGGAGGAAGAGAAAGAAAAAUCGAUUUCCUGAGUAGCGGCGAGCGAAACGGAAAGAGCCCAAACCAAGAAGCUUGCUUCUUGGGGUUGUAGGACACUCUAUACGGAGUUACAAAAGAAAGUUAUAAAUGAAGCGGUCUGGAAAGGCCCGCCAAAGACGGUAACAGCCCGGUAGUUGAAAUGGCUUUCCCUCCAGAGUGGAUCCUGAGUACGGCGGAACACGUGAAAUUCCGUCGGAAUCCGGGAGGACCAUCUCCCAAGGCUAAAUACUCCCUAGUGACCGAUAGUGAACCAGUACCGUGAGGGAAAGGUGAAAAGCACCCCGGAAGGGGAGUGAAACAGUUCCUGAAACCGUGUGCCUACAAGUAGUUAGAGCCCGUUAAUGGGUGAUAGCGUGCCUUUUGUAGAAUGAACCGGCGAGUUACGAUUUGUUGCAAGGUUAAGCGGAAAAAGCGGAGCCGUAGCGAAAGCGAGUCUGAAUAGGGCGCAUAAGUAACAGGUCGUAGACCCGAAACCAGGUGAUCUACCCAUGUCCAGGAUGAAGGUAAGGUAAUACUUACUGGAGGUCCGAACCCACGCACGUUGAAAAGUGCGGGGAUGAGGUGUGGGUAGCGGAGAAAUUCCAAUCGAACUUGGAGAUAGCUGGUUCUCUCCGAAAUAGCUUUAGGGCUAGCCUCGAGGUAAAGAGUCAUGGAGGUAGAGCACUGUUUGGACUAGGGGCCCUUCUCGGGUUACCGAAUUCAGAUAAACUCCGAAUGCCAUGUACUUAUACUCGGGAGUCAGACUGCGAGUGAUAAGAUCCGUAGUCGAAAGGGAAACAGCCCAGACCACCAGUUAAGGUCCCCAAAUAUAUGUUAAGUGGAAAAGGAUGUGGGGUUGCUUAGACAACCAGGAUGUUGGCUUAGAAGCAGCCACCAUUGAAAGAGUGCGUAAUAGCUCACUGGUCGAGUGACCCCGCGCCGAAAAUGUACCGGGGCUAAACAUAUUACC